UGUUUGCUAUGAUGAAUCGCAAGGACGGUAUAUGAGUAAGCUGGCUCUUGCAAAAGGCCACCUUCCUUGAUUAUACACCCUAAACUGAUCUUAAUUUCUGAGCAAACA
rfam:Triticum aestivum genome assembly, contig: Triticum_aestivum_CS42_TGACv1_scaffold_513372_6BS